AGUAUUGUGCUUUGGGAUGUUGUGUUCCAUUAGGGGUGACCUAGUAAUCUAGAUCUUAGCAGAAAAAUUCUGAGACUAAAAAUAAAGUCGUAGCAUGUGAUUUUAAGAAUUGCCGCUUUGGGUUGCUUUGUUAUAUCUAAAGUUAAUGAUUUUGUGUUGUGAAAAUGAAGCUGGAAUGCAACUCUCCUUGAGAUACUAGUUAAGGACCGCUGCAGCGAUGGAAUUCCCGCUAUAGUGAGACUAACAUAGCAGUUGGAGUCCCAUCGUAGUGGGCUGGGUAAUUUCUGGUUCCAAUAUUCACUCUCAUUUCAGGGGUGGCAGAUCACCACAACGACAUUAAUCUCCCUAUAGUAAAGCCAUUGUAGUGAGAAAUGGGUCGUGUGGCUGCAAACGCAAGGUAGGAUGCAUGUUUAUGUCCUAUAUUUCAAGAUUCAACUCUUAAACUCAAAAACUUCAUUCCAGAGCUUUAGAGGGUGACUUUUAUAAGGCUGGGACAGUUUUAUCAUCGAGGUGUGGAAGUACACAGGAAUGUUGAUGGCUUGUUUCUCAGUCAAUCCAAGUAUAUACAGGAGAUUCUACAUGACACUUAGAUGCAAGACUACAAAGGUAUUCCAUGUCCGAGACCCUACUAGUUGAUGAUGGAGCACCUUGGAAAAUAAUACAGAAGUGUGCUCGGUAAGUUUCAGUACCUUUCAUUUACCUGACCUGACAUCACAUACUAUUUAAAAAAGUUUACUCAGUUCAAUACCUCUCCUUCUAUGCUUCACUGGAAGGAAAUUAAGCGAUCCUGUGAUACCUUAAAGAAACAUCCCAGUAUGGCAUUCGUAUUUCCCCACAGAAAUCGACUGCUUUUUAUGCCUAUGUUGAUGCUGAUUGGGUAGGUGUCAUCAAUGAUCGUCGCUCUAUCUCAGUCUACAUUGUUUAUUUGGUCACAACGCCCAUAUCCUGGAGUUCUCGUAAGCAACCUACUAUCUCUAGAUCAUCCACUGAUGCUGAAUAUCGUGCGGUUGAUUCCACCUUGUCUGAAACAAAUUGGGUUACUCACUUGCUCAAAGAUCUUCAUGGGUCACUUCCUGCUACACCUUUAAUACUUUGUGAUAACCGUGGAGUUACGUACAUUGACGAGAAUCUGUUACAUCAUACCAAAAUGAAGGACCUUGAGGUUGAUCUUCACUUUGUUUGUAACCAGGUCCGCAAUGGAUUGGUCCAAAUGAGGUACAUACACGCUGUUGAUCAACUUGCAUAUCCACUUACCAAACCAUUGUCCAAGCCAGCUUUCCAGCUAAUGCUUCCCAAGUUACGUGUUGUCUCUUCACACCUAACUUGAGGGGGCGUAAUAGUGCAUUAGCAUUAGUGUUUUACCAGUGUUGUAACAUUGUUUUACUGUGCACAUAUACUAAUACUACAGAUAUAAUUUGAUUAGGAUUAGAUUUGUUCAACUUAUUUAGGUGCUAGUUUGUGUAGCCAUAGUUAUCUGUCCCUACAUUCUUAGAGUUACUUUAAGCUAGUUUUGAUUAUUUCAGUAUAUAAACUCCACUGUAGUCUCAUCAAAUAAACAUACUUUCUUCUA